GACGAACGCUGGCGGCGUGCCUAAUACAUGCAAGUAGAACGCUGAAGCUUGGUGCUUGCACCGAGCGGAUGAGUUGCGAACGGGUGAGUAACGCGUAGGUAACCUGCCUGGUAGCGGGGGAUAACUAUUGGAAACGAUAGCUAAUACCGCAUAAGAGUAGAUGUUGCAUGACAUUUGCUUAAAAGGUGCAAUUGCAUCACUACCAGAUGGACCUGCGUUGUAUUAGCUAGUUGGUGAGGUAACGGCUCACCAAGGCAACGAUACAUAGCCGACCUGAGAGGGGGAUCGGCCACACUGGGACUGAGACACGGCCCAGACUCCUACGGGAGGCAGCAGUAGGGAAUCUUCGGCAAUGGACGGAAGUCUGACCGAGCAACGCCGCGUGAGUGAAGAAGGUUUUCGGAUCGUAAAGCUCUGUUGUAAGAGAAGAACGAGUGUGAGAGUGGAAAGUUCACACUGUGACGGUAUCUUACCAGAAAGGGACGGCUAACUACGUG
rnacentral:rRNA from 1 species